GAAAAAUCAUAUCAAGCCUUUGCUCAGGCAAUUGCAAUCUAGCUGGGGAAGGCUGACACAUUCGAGAAAAGAGAAACAGAUGAUUAAGCACCAAAAUGAGAGGAAACCUGCAACAGGCAUUCAGUAAAGGAUGAGAGCAGACAAUACAGGAAGCAUGACACCAGCAUCUGCUCAGCUUCUCAGGAGGCCUCAGGGAGCUUUUACGCAGAAGGUGAAGCGGAAGCAGACACAUCACAUGGCUAAAGCAGGAGCAAGAGUGGGAAGAAGGUGCCACACACUUUUGAAUGACCACAAGAACUCACUAUCAUGAAGACAGCACCAGGCCAUGAGGGAUCUGGCCCCAUGAUUCAAACGUCUCCCACUAGGCUCCAUGUCCAGCAAUGGGGAUUAUAAUUCAACAUGAGAUUUGGAAGGGGACAAAUAUCCAAAUGGUAUCACCUGGAAUUGCAGAUUCCCUGCAGAUAAAAGUGCCCUUGAGAGUCCCGAUGCCUUGUGAAUCAAACCAGAGCACAGAGGUUCAUUCAGCAAAUCCAUCAGUAGCAUUCAUUUCAAGGUUUUUCAAUUUACAAAUAUUAUGUAUUCAUAGGAUAAAAUUCUGAAAAUUUAGAAAAUACACAAGAAAAGGAAAUAAAAAUCAAAUGUAAUUUUAUUACUCAGAGAACCUAUCUCUUUUUGCUUAGGUAUGUGUGCACACUGUUUUAUGCCUUUUCCUUUGCAAACACACGUUUUUCACAAAUUGGAAUCAUGCUAUCUAUACUAUUUUGUGUUUGCUUUUAAAAUACAGUGUAUUUUGAACACUUCCCCCUGACCUGAAGCAUUCUAUUGUAAUAUACUUUUUUGUAGAUAUGUUCAGUUUGCCUGGCAAAGUUAGCAACUGAAAAAGAACCUGAAAAGGCAUUAGCAUCAAGUAAAGAUUUUGUUCCAUUCAGGAACAACCAGAACAUAUUUUUGGGCUGCGGGGCAAGAAUCUAUGGAGUGAUUGAAGAGAAAUAUUUGUUGAAUGAAUGAACAGAAGGUGAAGAUGGUGAGAAGGCAGAGAGGGGGAGGUGACAGGAGAGCAGGGGUGGCCUUGAGAGGAAACAGGUAUAUUUUCUGACGGAAAAAUAUGUAUUUGGAGCUAAAGAAUUGGGCUGAUGAAGGAGAGAAUGCUGGAUGGUGUUAAUAUUUGCAAUAAAUGAAUGAGUAAAGACAUCUUUUAAGAAAUGGGAAAAGGGAAGUUAAUUUUUAGAAAAGAAUAGGAUAUUGGCAUUGUUCCUGAGAGCAUAAACCUGGAGAAUUAAAAACAGAUGAGGCCAUCAUAAACAAAUGAGCAUUGUGUUAUUGCCACAUGAACUUAGAGCACUUGGAAAUACAAAUGAUCCCAUAGGUAUUGCUGAGAAUUAGUGGGUACACAGAUUUUAUUUAAAUGAAUUAUUCAAACCUGCUUGGUCCUGUUCUCAUGCUGCAGGUUCUUAAAAUCCUCUGAAAAUAUACCCAAAGAAGAACUCUUUAUUGACUGGUGUAGUUUUGAGGAAGAAGAUAUUAAUGUGUUUUAUUCCUGUGUAAUUUUUUUACUUUUAUUUUUUCCAUAGAUGUGUGACACUGGCCUCCUUUCUAGGUGAAGUAAAAGGGCUCAGACUUUUCAGACAAAUCCUUUUAUGUUAUUCCACUCAAAAGUCCUCAUUUCUUAUUCAGAGACACAUAGCAACAGACUUAAAU
rnacentral:lncRNA from 1 species